GAAACGGUGAUUAAUACUGGAUACGCCUUCUCUAUUAAUUAGAGUUGGGAAAGUUUUUCGCUAAGGGAUCGGCCUAUGUUGUAUCAGGUAGUUGGUAGGGUAAUGGCCUGCCAAGCCAAUGACACAUAGCGGGUCUGAGAGGAUGAUCCGCCACACUGGUACUGAGACACGGACCAGACUCCUACGGGAGGCAGCAGUGGGGAAUAUUGCACAAUGGACGAAAGUCUGAUGCAGCAACGCCGCGUGGAGGAUGACACAUUUCGGUGCGUAAACUCCUUUUAUAUAAGAAGAUAAUGACGGUAUUAUAUGAAUAAGCACCGGCUAACUCCGUGCCAGCAGCCGCGGUAAUACGGAGGGUGCAAGCGUUAUUCGGAAUCACUGGGCGUAAAGGGUGCGUAGGCGGUUUGGAAAGUCAGAUGUGAAAGCCUAUGGCUUAACCAUAGAACUGCAUUUGAAACUUCCAGACUAGAAUACUGAAGGGGCAGAUGGAAUUAGUGGUGUAGGGGUAAAAUCCGUAGAUAUCACUAGGAAUACCGAAAGCGAAAGCGAUCUGCU
rnacentral:rRNA from 1 species